rnacentral:lncRNA from 1 species
UUUAAUGAAAAUUCCAGCAAAAACAUCCCCCAAAGGAUCUCAAUAUUCGCUUACCUCCACGACAAUAAUUACUGUUGGCAUCGGCGUGUGCAGAUAACACAGCUACGAAGAUACAGUGACGCUUAUCUAUGUACACCAACUCGCGCAACGAGAUCGAUCUUAAACGAGAUCGUCACAGCUUUGGCCAAUCACUCUCGUGUCUUGAGACGACCUGUUAAAGAACUCGAUGCAGUCCGUGAUGGCCUCCUCAUAGUGCGCGUUCAGCGGAUAGAGAUACGAGCUGCAUGAUCUCUUGGGCUCAUCAGGGACUGCGGGAGCGCGUUGAAGCGAAGCAGUUCGUGGCCUGUGAGGAGGAGAGAAUAGGCCCGUGAGGAUCCUCCUGAAGCCAGCCAAAAGCCGCUGCGGCCAUGCGUCGAGCAGCUUCGGCGCGAGAGCGGCCCUCCUGCCGCGGCCUUUGGGAGUCGUGCGUGCCCAGUGCUGGCUCUGGCGUUGAAGCUUUGACAUCAGGAAGAUGAAACCGGGACUGCUUCCUCAGGCGUGGAAGAUGCAGUGGAGUGGUUGUGGAAGGCUAUUUAUCGGUGCAGACUGUUGAAGGUUCUUCGAGUUCUUCACCGAGUUCGGCGAAUGGGGCAAAGCUUGGGGCCAUGAUCCAUGUGACGAGAUGAUUGACGGGGGACUUCGUUGUUGUUUCCAAACGAGUAGUAUACUAGGAAGCAGUGUUCAUUACACCCACCCUUCGCAUUGCUUCCUCCAUUAUGA